GGGCCGUUAGCUCAAUUGGCAGAGCUGUGGACUUUUAAUCCAUAGGUUCUGGGUUCGAGUCCCAGGCGGCCCACCG
rnacentral:tRNA from 1 species